rnacentral:ncRNA from 2 species
GUCUAGCCCAGAUUGAAAUGACAUCCUUUUUUCUUUUUCAGAAAAAAGAUAUAAUGGAAAGCUGGAAAAAGC